UCCCACAAGUAGGACACUGGUUAGCUUACAAGAAUGUUUUAUGCCAUUGCAUACUGGGAGAAACUGCACUUGGAAAAAAAGCCAUAGGAUGGUUACAUAGUGUAGCCAGAAGUAUCAGUGAAGCUAACAUUGCCAACGUUACAGAUAGUUGACCCAGCAUAAAGGCGUAUUACAUCAUAGCUUUUACGUUUACGUCACUGACGUCAAUAGGAUUCGGAAACGUGUCACCAAAUAACAACGGCGAAAACAUAUUCUCAAUAUUUGCUGUUCUGCUUGGAUCACUGCUGAGUGUCAACGGUGAGAGUGUAUCAUGAGAGAGAUGAGUAGCACGAGAAAAUGAAGAGUACUAAAGAAACCAAAACAUUCAUCAUCAUCCGAAGAAUCUUGCAAACUGAUUGUACGAGUUCUUCCUACACACCUGGGCGUACACUAAUGGAUUUGACAUG